rnacentral:rRNA from 1 species
CCUACGGGUGGCAGCAGUGAGGAAUAUUGGUCAAUGGACGCUAGCCUGAACCAGCCAUGUAGCGUGCAGGAUGACUGCCCUAUGGGUUGUAAACUGCUUUUAUAUGAGGAUAAAGUGCAGUAUGUAUACUGCUUUGCAAGUACCUUAUGAAUAAGGAUCGGCUAACUCCGUGCCAGCAGCCGCGGUAAUACGGAGGAUUCGAGCGUUAUCCGGAUUUAUUGGGUUUAAAGGGAGCGUAGGCGGGUUGUUAAGUUAGUUGUGAAAUUUUGCGGCUCAACCGUGAAAUUGCAGUUGAUACUGGCAGCCUUGAGUACAGUAGAGGUAGGCGGAAUGUGUGGUGUAGCGGUGAAAUGCUUAGAUAUCACGCAGAACUCCGAUUGCGAAGGCAGCCUGCUAGACUGUAACUGACGCUGAUGCUCGAAAGUGUGGGUAGCAAACAGGAUUAGAUACCCCGGUAGUC